rfam:Dipodomys ordii contig_60632, whole genome shotgun sequence.
UGGCUCAGUGGUAGAGUGCUUGCCUUGCAUGCAUGAGGCCCUGGGUUCAAUUCCUCAG